ensembl:lncRNA
AAACCUUUGUGUGGGGGCACAGGGUGGAACACAGCUGAGUUCUGAGGAUGGAGUGGUUUACGCCCCUUGUAAUCAGCACAGGACAGCACGCAGGCCUUGCUUUAGGAACUGACACCGACGUUAUCCCGCGCUGAAAUGCAAACCCAGUUUGCUCAAUGUGCCCUUCUUCAAAUAUUAUAUAAUGUUUUAUUCUCAGCUGUGUUUUAAUUGAGAACAUCUAGCAGGGCUGUUGACUUUAAUGGGACGAUUCACAUGAGUAAGAGUUGCAGGGAAGCAGCAUUUGUGAAGGCAGCUUCAAAAGCCCAUUGGGAUAAUUGAUCUGACUGCGCCCGAGUCGGUUAAAUCUUCAGGCCUGAUACAGACAAUGCAGACAUGAAAGCAGACUCAUUUAUUCCAGUUCUUACAGUGGGAGCAGUGGGAAAUGUCAGGGAAAAAGGGUGAUGGGUACAGAAUUAGUGACUACUUUAUAUCACAAAACCCCGCCAGAACCAACCAGAUGCAAUCAGUCAUGAAACUUAUUUGCUACAAAACUGUAUCAUUGAGCUUGACUCCUACAAACUAUAUCGUGCCCACCACCAAAGCAAUGUUGGCAAAAGAGUUCUGUUCCUGACUGGUGAAAGGAACAAAUUAAAUCCUGUCCUGUUCAGCAUUGGAACUGAGCAACCAAAGUCCUGCUUCCCCCGGGCGACUCUGCAGUUUCAGGUGCAACCCUUUGCUAAGCAUUAUUGAACGGCGUAUUGUUUACAACAGAGUGGAGAUCACGAGUUCUGCAGAGAAGUUGGCAUCUCUCGUGGAGUCUCUUCUUCAUUCUAAAGUGUAUUUCUCUCUCCAUUAACAUUCAUUGAUGAUUAUUUUCCUUCAAAGACAUUGUGAACGUUGCUGCGUCUCCCCGAGUGUGAAUGUGUGAAUGAGCAUGUCUACAGCUUUGAGUCACACCACCCUACGCCAUUUCCAUUUUUCUGCCCAAUCCUCAAUAUCUCCAAGCCUUUUUAAAUCGUAGUUAGUUCCAGGAUUGAACAUUCCCUUCUGAUUGGAAGAAAUUCUCAUGCAGAGACCGUAAUUAGAAAGGCUGUGCUGUGUUCUGUUAUUAGCAGGAAUUGUGAUUUUUGGAGUGGUGGGUUAAUUGCUAAUAACCAUAUGCAAUGCUUCUCUCAAGAUGUUUCCCAUUACAGUAAUUAACUUAGCAGCUGGGGUAACAGACAUUUACCAUUUGUCUUCACAGUAUCCCUGAUUUAGGAUUGUUCCAAAAACCGAUUUGGACUUUGUUCAAUUCCCAUGCACAAGAUGAAAAACAGGGAUGCUGAGAGAGAGAGACUUGGGAAAGAACCAGCUGCGGAGAUGGUACCUGUUUGUGGGUGCAAACUCUCCAUUGGUGCAUCCUCAGGACUUCUGAAGUUUGCUACAACAGCCUUAGAGUGGGCAGCCACCUUCACUGUGCCACCUGGAAGGCAGAGCAGUGUGACAAAAGAGCAUUAAAAAAAAAGUUUUGAUAGAUACCAUGCUCAAAAUAUCCACUGAUUAACCUUUUGUCUUUUUGAGGAUUUAUUAAUUGAAAAAUGCAGAAUGCUUUCUUUCCGACUCAUAUUCUUAACCUAUUCUAACCAUUCCCUAUGGUUUGUGACUCUUUUUUCUCCAUGUUUCACAGUCAACUCUACAGACAUGAACAUUUUUAGGUAAAUAUUUCCUUUCUGUGCCAUCUCACUGGAGUUCCUUCCUCCACAACAAGCAGGAAGAGCCAGGCUAGAAUUACAGCAAUAUUUGUAAGUCUGUGGCUAACCUGAAAUUUAAGAAGGAAACAGAGGUGGCCUACAAAGCCAGACCACCUGACAGAACAAAGGCAGCUUUGUACAUUUAAUUCACUGAUGGGAGAUAUUUAAAGGAUUCCUUUUGCUUACGAGGUCAGAGGAACACAGUGCUAGGCUAGGUCCAUUUUUAAAUUUGUUCUGGCCAAACAGAGGAAGUUCUGUGCAAGACUGAAUUAAAGAAGGUUUGUUAAUGCCCUCGAAGAUGUGAAGCAGUGUACCAAGGCAACUGGAAGCUUCCUCUGCUGCAACAAAUUGGCGUUGCUCCAUUGUAAUGAAUGGGGGAGCACUAAUCUGCGGUAACUGAGGAUCCAGCCUGCACUGAUAAUCUUAAUUAUGGACUUACUUCCAGAGGUACAUUUCCUAAAGCAGCUGUGUAAG